rnacentral:lncRNA from 1 species
AAAUGACACGAAGAAAAAUAUUCAUUAACUUAGUUGUUCAUAUUAUUUUCAAAUAAAACACACACUACAUAUUUAAAAUUCAAUUAAACAGAAAAUGAUUAUCAGAACAAAACAAUACAAACGUAACAUAUUUUGUAUUAACAUUACUGAUACAAUUUUUCUGCACAAAAUGCGAAUCAACAACCAAUGUUUUGUCAAUAAUGUCGUGUUCUUAUGUUGUUUGAUUCCUUCAAUGUCUCAGUUAACUCUUUUCAGUGAGUUGCUUUUUAUCCGUCAAUAUUCAUGAUCACAUAUUUUAAAGUUCGUAGGAGAAAAUGAACUCUUUGAGUAUUCGGUUAGCG